rnacentral:rRNA from 1 species
AAGCGUGCGCAGGCGGUUAUGUAAGACAGAUGUGAAAUCCCCGGGCCUCAACCUGGGAACUGCAUUUGUGACUGCAUGGCUAGAGUACGGUAGAGGGGGAUGGAAUUCCGCGUGUAGCAGUGAAAUGCGUAGAUAUGCGGAGGAACACCGAUGGCGAAGGCAAUCCCCUGGACCUGUACUGACGCUCAUGCACGAAAGCGUGGGGAGCAAACAGGAUUAGAUACCCUAGU